UGCGUAGGUGGUCUCUUAAGUCAGGAGUGAAAGGCUACGGCUCAACCGUAGUAAGCUCUUGAAACUGGGAAACUUGAGUGCAGGAGAGGAAAGUGGAAUUCCUAGUGUAGCGGUGAAAUGCGUAGAUAUUAGGAGGAACACCAGUAGCGAAGGCGGCUUUCUGGACUGUAACUGACACUGGGGCACGAAAGCGUGGGGAGCAAACA
rnacentral:rRNA from 1 species